rnacentral:rRNA from 1 species
AUGAACGCUAGCUACAGGCUUAACACAUGCAAGUCGAGGGGCAGCAUCAUCAAAGCUUGCUUUGAUGGAUGGCGACCGGCGCACGGGUGAGUAACACGUAUCCAACCUGCCGACAACACUGGGAUAGCCUUUCGAAAGAAAGAUUAAUACCGGAUGGCAUAGUUUUCCCGCAUGGGAUAAUUAUUAAAGAAUUUCGGUUGUCGAUGGGGAUGCGUUCCAUUAGGCAGUUGGCGGGGUAACGGCCCACCAAACCUACGAUGGAUAGGGGUUCUGUGAGGAAGGUCCCCCACAUUGGAACUGAGACACGGUCCAAACUCCUACGGGAGGCAGCAGUGAGGAAUAUUGGUCAAUGGACGAGAGUCUGAACCAGCCAAGUAGCGUGAAGGAUGACUGCCCUAUGGGUUGUAAACUUCUUUUAUACGGGAAUAAAGUGAGCCACGUGUGGCUUUUUGUAUGUACCGUAUGAAUAAGGAUCGGCUAACUCCGUGCCAGCAGCCGCGGUAAUACGGAGGAUCCGAGCGUUAUCCGGAUUUAUUGGGUUUAAAGGGAGCGUAGGCGGGUUGUUAAGUCAGUUGUGAAAGUUUGCGGCUCAACCGUAAAAUUGCAGUUGAUACUGGCGACCUUGAGUGCAACAGAGGUAGGCGGAAUUCGUGGUGUAGCGGUGAAAUGCUUAGAUAUCACGAAGAACUCCGAUUGCGAAGGCAGCUUACUGGAUUGUAACUGACGCUGAUGCUCGAAAGUGUGGGUAUCAAACAGGAUUAGAUACCCUGGUAGUCCACACAGUAAACGAUGAAUACUCGCUGUUGGCGAUAUACAGUCAGCGGCCAAGCGAAAGCAUUAAGUAUUCCACCUGGGGAGUACGCCGGCAACGGUGAAACUCAAAGGAAUUGACGGGGGCCCGCACAAGCGGAGGAACAUGUGGUUUAAUUCGAUGAUACGCGAGGAACCUUACCCGGGCUUAAAUUGCAACUGACGGAACCGGAAACGGUUCUUUCUUCGGACAGUUGUGAAGGUGCUGCAUGGUUGUCGUCAGCUCGUGCCGUGAGGUGUCGGCUUAAGUGCCAUAACGAGCGCAACCCUUACGGGUAGUUACCAUCAGGUUAUGCUGGGGACUCUACCCGGACUGCCGUCGUAAGAUGUGAGGAAGGUGGGGAUGACGUCAAAUCAGCACGGCCCUUACGUCCGGGGCUACACACGUGUUACAAUGGGGGGUACAGAAGGCAGCUACACGGCGACGUGGUGCUAAUCCCAAAAGCCUCUCUCAGUUCGGAUUGGAGUCUGCAACCCGACUCCAUGAAGCUGGAUUCGCUAGUAAUCGCGCAUCAGCCACGGCGCGGUGAAUACGUUCCCGGGCCUUGUACACACCGCCCGUCAAGCCAUGAAAGCCGGGGGUACCUGAAGUACGUAACCGCGAGGAGCGUCCUAGGGUAAAACUGGUGAUUGGGGCU